rnacentral:SRP_RNA from 1 species
ACAGGAAUCUGUGAACCGUGUCAGGUCGGGAACGGAGCAGCACUAAGCAGAACCUCUUGUGUGACGCAAGGGUGCCUGGGCCGAGUUAACUGUCAGGGUAACGCCUGUGGUAUGCGUUCGAAGGGCGGCGCACGG